GCUGGGUGCGGUGGCUCACGCCUGUAAUCCCAGCACUUCGGGAGGCCGAGGCGGGAGGAUCACCUGAGGUCAGGAGUUCAAGACCAGCCUGGCCAACAUGGUGAAACCCCGUCUCUA
rnacentral:SRP_RNA from 2 species